CUUUGAAGGCAGCUCCACUCCAUGGAAUCACUUCAUUUGAAAUGAAAGGCCAGAAACAAACAUCUACAUGAAAGGAAAACAGCACCUGAAAACUACAUCACAACAUGGAAAAGUCUACAUCACAGAUGAUGCUAGCUAUUGGCUACCAUUAAUGUCCCCAAACUUGCUGCCUUAAAUAUGCUAUGUAAACCCAGGGCCAGGAAGUGACAGUGUGGUUCCAAAGGCCACAAGCC
rnacentral:lncRNA from 1 species